rnacentral:rRNA from 1 species
GACGAACGCUGGCGGCGUGCUUAACACAUGCAAGUCGAACGGUAAGGCCCUUCGGGGUACACGAGUGGCGAACGGGUGAGUAACACGUGGGUGAUCUGCCCUGCACUUCGGGAUAAGACUGGGAAACUGGGUCUAAUACCGGAUAGGACCACUGCCUGCAUGGGUGGUGGUGGAAAGCUUUGGCGGUGUGGGAUGGGCCCGCGGCCUAUGAGCUUGUUGGUGGGGGGAUGGCCAACCAAGGGGAAGACGGGUAGCGGGCCUGAGGGGGUGACCGGCCACACUGGGACUGAGAUACGGCCCAGACUCCGACGGGAGGCAGCAGUGGGGAUUAUUGCACAAUGGGCGCAAGCCUGAUGCAGCGACGCCGCGUGGGGGAUGACGGCCUUCGGGUUGUAAACCUCUUUCAGCACCGACGAAGCGCAAGUGACGGUAGGUGCAGAAGAAGGACCGGCCAACUACGUGCCAGCCGCCGCGGUAA